rnacentral:rRNA from 1 species
UGCGCAGGCGGCUCCUUAAGUCAGAUGUGAAAGCCCCGGGCUUAACCUGGAAACUGCGUUUGAAACUGGGGAGCUAGAGUGUAGAAGAGGGGGGUGGGAAUUCCAGGUGUAGCAGUGAAAUGCGUAGAGAUCUGGAGGAACACCGAUGGCGAAGGCAGCCCCCUCGGGCUAACACUGACGCUCAUGCACGAAAGCGUGGGGAGCAAACA